AUUUAUGUAUGCGCACUUCUGUUGCUCUUGAGCCUUGUGCAGUGCUGUUGGCAGCUAGAGCCAGGAGCUACCUCCUUCAUGAGUCAGAUCAGUAGGUUCACACUGCCCUUCUUCCUCUUGAGAGAGAGGCAUCCCCAAUGAAACAGGAUGGAUAUUUUAAAGUUGGCAUCACAGAAGACUCAGUACUGGAUCUCAGCUGUCACAAAGAUGGUGUGGGUAUGGAGCAAAGUGGGACGCCAGGAGGAGCCAUGCUGUGGAUGGAGGAAGGAUGCAAGUGAAGCACAGCUUCAUAAUCACACAAGGCAUUCCAUCUAACAACAUCAUAUGCUGGUUCUCACUAACCAGUUCUACUUCACAGAAAAAGAAGGUAAUGCUGAAGAUCACACAGCCAAGGGCAGAAGAAUCAGAGGUCUCCCCAAACAGGAUGAUUGCCACUGGCCACUAAAGUGCACACUCAUCAAGAAGAUAAAAAAUGGCUGAGGAGAGGCUAGAGAGAUGGCUCAGUGGUUAAUAGCACUGGCUGUUCUUCCAGGGGACCUGAGUUCAAUUCCCAGUACCCACAUGGCAGCUCACAACUGUCUGUAACUCCAGUUCUAAGGGAUCUGGCACCAUUAACACAGACAUAUAUGUGGGUGAAACACCAUUGUGCAUAAAAUAAAAAUAAAUUAUUUUAAAAGAAAAAAUAAAUUAUUUUUUAAAAUGGACUCCAUUGGUGCUUGCUGCACAGCAUGAGCAACCAAGUUCCAUCCCACCACAC
rnacentral:lncRNA from 1 species